AGACUCUGGGCAGGAAGUGAAUCUUCACAGGGAAGGAAGCAACAGAACUCUGCCUUUGGCUUUUGCUGGCUGAGCAGGGAAAGGCCUAUAGACACAGGGCAUUGGGCAGGAGCUAGAACAGCCCUCCCUAGAGCACUACAUAAAGCAGCCAAUAUUUUGCAAAGCAUAGGGAAGAGUGAAAGUCAUCCGGGACAUUUGCAGACACAGCACUAAGAACUUGGUGACAACAGCCCUGAAGCAAAACACCAGCAUGUACUGGGCAGGGCUUGGGAGAUAAGACAGGACAUCUGAAGCUAAACAUGGAUCCCCUCUGAAAGCUACAAUCAAAGUGUCAUCCACAAAAUCUUAUCUCAAGCCUUGACUAGAGAAGGACCCACUUCCAAGACCACAGAGUUGAAUGAAUUCAGUCCUUGCAGCCCGUUGAACUGAGGGCCUCCCCAACAUGCUCACCUGCUUCAUCAAAGCCUGCGAGAGAGAGAGUCCACUAGCAAGAGGACAUUGCAGUCUUAUCUAAUGCAAUCACUGAAGUGACAUCCUGUCACCUUGGUCACCUUUUCUAUUCUAUUCAUUAUAAAUGAGUCCCAAGUCCUGCCACACUCAAGUGGAGGGGAUUACACAGGGCUGGAGUACCAGCGGUGGGGAUAAUUUGGGGUCAUCUUAGAGUUCUUCCAUCACACAGGAAUUCUCAGCUCACCAAAUCUGGGAUUCCGCAUCUGGCCAUUCCUGAAGCUGAAGGCCUGGCAUAUUUUUGAGUGUCCAUUUGGAUCAGCUAAUAAACCCAGGGUUUGUCUACUGGCUGCAGGAGUAAGAACUAUAAGGCUAAUUGAAAUGAAUCUACUUAAAAUAGUGACCUGAUUUUUCUAAUAAUUACUGGAAGGUAAGGGUUGAUUGAGACUUUAAAAUAAAACCAAAAAUUAUUCUAAAUUUUUCAUAUUUUAUAUAAGAAAGUUUUGAUUUUUACUGCAACCAUUUUCUAACUCUUAAAGAAAGGAUAAUUCAAGUGUUGAUAUUUUCCCAACAUAAAUAUACAGGAACAUAAUGUAGCUUACUUGUAUUUUAUCUUUGAUUUACACAAGAGAAUUUUUAUACAAAUAUUCCAGGCUCAUUAGUUUUCCCAAAGGCUUCUCAUAAUCCUUUGAUAUUUAAAUCAUUCCCUCUUUCAAGUCAUUUUUUAUCUGCCUUGUCGAUACUCUUUUUGUUAAUUUGCCCAACUCAUCUGGAUCUUCCUUUGUCACUGGCUCCGUAAAUUUGAGUAUUUCUCCAAUAAUGCUCCUGUCAACUUUAUGAAAUCCUUUGUCUUUUGCAAGAUUUAAAAAUUCUCUUUAUAAUAAGCAUUCUACAGUAAGUGAAGACUCACUAGCAAAUAUAUGAGUGAUGGAUCAAGAGAGACAAUGUGUUAAAAAUUGACAGAUGCAACUUUUAAAAAUGAAAUUCUUGGUUACCAUCUAACAAAGUAAGUACAGGACCUGUAUGCUGAAAACUACAAAACACUAAUGAAGGAAUCAAAGAAAGUGUAAAUAAAUGGAGAGAUAUACCAUGUUCAUGAAUUGGAAGUCUCAGAAUUAUUAAAAUGUAAAUUCUAUCCAAAUUGAUCUAUAGAUUCAACCCAAUCACAAUCAAAAUCCUAACUGGCUAUAUAAAUUGACAAGCUGAUUCCAACAUUCACAUAAAAAUCCAAAGAAUGUAGAAGAGCCAAACAGCUUUGAGAAAAGGAGAAAAAAGUUAAAGGAUUCACAUUAUCUGAUUCCAAGGCUUCUUAUAAAGCUACAGUCAUCGAGUCAGUAUGGUACUGGCAAAAGGAGAGACACAUUCUAUAUAUCUAUCUGUCUAUAUAUCUAUGUGGAAUAUAAUAAAGAGUUCAGAAAUAGAUCCACAAAUAAGAUCAAUUGAAUUUUGGCAAAGACGAAAAAAUAAUUCAAUGGAGAAAGGACAGAAUUUUCAAUAAAUGAUGCGGAAACAAUUAGACAUCCAUAUGCAGGAAAAAAAUGUUUGACCUAUAUGUUCAUUUUAUACAAAAAAUUAAUUCAAAAAGAAUCAUAGACCUAAAUGUAAAACAUAAAAACUUUUAAACUUUUAAAAUAAAAUAUAGGUAAAAUCUUCAUGACCUACAAUUAGGCAGAGUUCUUGGAGAUUACAUCAAGAAUUUAAUUCAUAAAAAGAAAAAAUUUAUAAGUUGGAUUUCAUUAAAACUAGAAACUUUUGCUCUAAAAAGAGCAAAAUUAAAAUUAUAAGAACAAAAAGAAAAGCCAUGGACUGUCAUAUGCCUGACAAAGGAUAUACAGACUAUAGGAAGUACUCUCAAACUCAACAGUAAGAAAAUAAGCAACCCAAGUUAAAAAUGGGCAAAAUAUUUGAACAGACACUUCACUAAAGAAGAUUAUAUGGAUGUCAAAUAAGCAUAAAUAAAGAAGAUAUAUGGAUGGCAAAUAAGCAUAAGAUUCUCAGCAUCAUUACUCAUCAGGGAAAUGCACAUUGAAACCACAAUGACAUGCCACUACGUACCUACUAUAAUGGGGAAAAAACUGACAAUACCAACUGCAGAGCCACUGGAGCACUCAUACAUUGCUAAUGGGAAUGCAAAAUGGUAAAACCACUUUACGAAACAGUUUGGCAGUUUCUUAUAAAGUUAUAACACCAAAACCAGAAACAACAAAAUGUCCCUCAACUGGUGAGGGGUGCUAUGGUCUGAAUGUUUCUGUCCUUCCAAAAUUUAUAAGUUGAAACCUAAUCCCCAAUGCAUGGGUAUUUGGAAGUGGGGACUUUAGGGUGGGAUUAAAUUAUGAAGUCAGACCGCUCAGGAACAGGGUCAGUGCCUGAUAUGGUUAGAAUAUGUAACUCUUCCAAAUCUCAUGUUGAAAUAUAGUCUCCAGUGCUGGAAGUGGGGCCUGGUGUGAGGUGUUUGGUCAUGGAGGUGGAUCCCUCAUUAAUGGCUUGGCACAUCCCCUUGGUGAUAAGUGAGCUCUCACUCUGAGUUCAUGUGAGAUCUGGUUGUUUAAAAGUAUGUGGCAUUCCCCCCCACACAAUUUUGCCAUGUGAUGUGCCUUCUCCUGCUUUAUCUUCCACCAUGAGUAAAAGCUUCCUGAGGUCCCCCCAGAAGUCGAGGAGAUGCCAGCACCAUGUUUCCUGUACAGUCUGCAGAAUUAUGAGCCAAUAAAACCUCUUUUCUUUAUAAAUCA